UACAGAGGGUGCAAGCGUUAAUCGGAAUUACUGGGCGUAAAGCGUGCGUAGACGGUUAUGUAAGUCAGGUGUGAAAGCCCCGGGCUCAACCUGGGAAUGGCAUUUGAGACUGCAUAGCUAGGGUGCGGAAGAGGGAAGCGGAAUUUCCGGUGUAGCGGUGAAAUGCGUAGAUAUGUGGAGGAACACCGAUGGCGAAGGCAGCCCCCUGGGAUGUGACUGACGCUCAUGUACGAAAGCGUGGGGAGCAAACAGG
rnacentral:rRNA from 1 species